ensembl:lncRNA
CUUUAUUUAACCAGGUAGGCUAGUUGAGAACACCUUUAUUUAACCAGGUAGGCUAGUUGAGAACACCUUUAUUUAACCAGGUAGGCUAGUUGAGAACAAGUUCUAAUUUAGAGCUGUGACCUGGUCAAGAUAAAGCAAAGCAGUGUGACACAAACAACAACACAGAGUUACACAUGGAAUAAACAAACAUACAGUCAAUAACACAAUAGAAAAAAAAGAAAGUCUAUAUACAGUGUGUGCAAAUGGCGUGAGGAGGUAAGGCAAUAAAUAGGCCAUAGUAGCGAAGUAAUUACAAUUUAGCAGAUUAACACGAGUGAUACAGUGGGGCAAAAAAGUAUUUAGUCAGACACCAAUUGUGCAAGUUCUCCCACUUAAAAAGAUGAGAGGCCUGUAAUUUAUCAUAGGUACACUUCAACUAUGACAGACAAAAUGAGAAAAAAAAUCCACAAAAUCACAUUGCAGGGUUUUUAAUGAAUUUAUUUGCAAAUUAUGGUGAUCCAGUCCACUAGAUCCAGUCCACUAGACCCAGUCCAUCUCCAUCCAGUCCACUAGAUCCAAUCCAUCUCCAUCCAGUCCACUAAAUCCAGUCCACUAGACCCAGUCCAUCUCCAUCCAGUCCACUAGAUCCAAUCCAUCUCCAUCCAGUCCACUAGACCCAGUCUACUAGAUCCAGUCCAUCUCAGGUAGUCAUUACAGUAAUGUUGUCCCAGUGUGCACAGACUCCUAAGAGCUGUGAGGUAGUACCUGGUGGGUUGCUGAUUGGCUUAUACUUUAAAGCAGUUAACUGUGUAAAAUAUAGUCAUUAACUUACCUAACUAGCUGCCCUCUGACCAUGAGGUUAUUAACUUACCUAACUAGCUGCCCUCUGACCAUGAGGUUAUUAACUUACCUAACUAGUUGCCCUCUGACCAUGAGGUUAUUAACUUACCUAACUAGCUGCCCUCUGACCAUGAGGUUAUUAACUUACCUAACUAGCUGCCCUCUGACCAUGAGGUCAUUAACUUACCUAACUAGUUGCCCUCUGACCAUGAGGUUAUUAACUUACCUAACUAGUUGCCCUCUGACCAUGAGGUCAUUAACUUACCUAACUAGCUGCCCUCUGACCAUGAGGUUAUUAACUUCUAUCUCCUCCAUCUUGGCUCCAACAUGGCUCUAUCUCCUCCAUCUUGGCUCCAACAUGGCUCUAUCUCCUCUAAGACUGUGUUCUUCUAUCUCCUCCAUCUUGGCUCUAUCUCUCCAUGGCUCUCUAUGUUAGUGGGUUACUCCCUGUUGUCAGAUCGUACUAGAGUAAUCACUGUGUGUGGUGUAUUGUGGUGGUGAAGGUGGUUCUUCCUGGUCCUCUCCUCACUGGCCCCGGAGCUUCAGGAUGGUUUCCACAGCCUCUGCCAGGUUGUCCACAUAGCCAUCAGCUGUUACUGUGGGGUGCUUCUCAUCACUGGGCCUACAGAGAGAGACAGAGAGAGAGACAGAGAGAGACAGACAGACAGACAGAGAGAGACAGACAGACAGACAGAGAGAGACAGACAGACAGACAGACAGAGACAGACAGGCAGAGACAGACAGACAGACAGACAGGAGACAGACAGAGACAGAGAGAGACAGACAGACAGGCAGAGACAGACAGACAGACAGGCAGAGACAGAG